rnacentral:rRNA from 1 species
UACGUAGGAGACGAGCGUUGUCCGGAAUUACUGGGCGUAAAGCGCGUGUAGGCGGAUAGGCAAGUCUGCUGUGAAAGCUCCUGGCUUAACCGGGAGUGGUCGGUGGAAACUGCUUAUCUGGAGGACGGUAGAGGCUGGUGGAAUUCCCGGUGUAGUGGUGAAAUGCGUAGAGAUCGGGAGGAACACCUGUGGCGAAGGCGGCCAGCUGGGCCGACACUGACACUGAGAGACGAAAGCUAGGGGAGCGAAUGGG